GACAGAGGGUGCAAACGUUGCUCGGAAUUACUGGGCGUAAAGCGCGUGUAGGUGGAUUGGUGUGUCAGAUGUGAAAGCCCUGGGCUCAACCCAGGAACUGCACCUGAAACUACCAGUCUUGAGUGGUGGAGAGGGAAGUGGAAUUCCUGGUGUAGAGGUGAAAUUCGUAGAUAUCGUGAGGAAUACCAGAGGCGAAGGCGGCUACCUGGACAAUUGCUGACGCUCAGGCACGAAAGCGUGGGGAGCAAAAGGG
rnacentral:rRNA from 1 species